rnacentral:lncRNA from 1 species
AGAGAAUGAGAGAGGAGCAGACAGAGAGAGAAUGAGAGAGGAGCAGACAGAGAGAGAAUGAGAGAGAACGAGAGGAGCAGACAGAGAGAGAAUGAGAGGAGCAGACAGAGAGAGAAUGAGAGAGGAGCAGACAGAGAGGAGCAGACAGAGAGAGAAUGAGAGGAGCAGACAGAGAGGAGCAGACAGAGAGGAGCAGACAGAGAGAGAAUGAGAGAGGAGCAGACAGAGAGAGAAUGAGAGGAGCAGACAGAGAGAGAAUGAGAGAGGAGCAGACAGAGAGGAGCAGACAGAGAGAGAAUGAGAGGAGCAGACAGAGAGAGAAUGAGAGGAGCAGACAGAGAGAGAAUGAGAGAGGAGCAGACAGAGAGAGAAUGAGAGGAGCAGACAGAGAGAGAAUGAGAGAGGAGCAGACAGAGAGAGAAUGAGAGGAGCAGACAGAGAGAGAAUGAGAGGAGCAGACAGAGAGAGAAUGAGAGGAGCAGCCUUCCGUGUGUGUUUGUAUAUGGGUACGUGUUGAGGUGUGUGUGUCUUUCAGUGUGUGUUUCCACAGGCCCUCAGGGGACCCCAGAAUGGACCCUUAGUGCCUCCCUCUAGCUCCAUAGGGAGACAAACGAGGAAGAGAGAGUUUGACAGCACCUAUCUGCCACCAGGAGGACAUGCCUUGAAUUCUUCUUCAAGUUUGUCUUUCUUUCUUUCUUAACUGCGUUUCCUCUCUCCUUCUCAUUGCCAAGCAGGAGAGGAGUGUCUGUUGCGGG